UACGUAGGGGGCGAGCGUUGUCCGGAAUCACUGGGCGUAAAGCGCACGUAGGCGGAUUGUUAAGUCAGGGGUGAAAUCCUGGAGCUCAACUCCAGAACUGCCUUUGAUACUGGCGAUCUUGAGUCCGGGAGAGGUGAGUGGAACUGCGAGUGUAGAGGUGAAAUUCGUAGAUAUUCGCAAGAACACCAGUGGCGAAGGCGGCUCACUGGCCCGGUACUGACGCUGAGGUGCGAAAGCGUGGGGAGCAAACAGG
rnacentral:rRNA from 1 species